rnacentral:lncRNA from 1 species
GGCACUUCUGACAUCAGAGGCUCCAGCUGAAAGGUUCCAAAUCUAGGAGCUGGAGUCCAUGACUCACAGGUCUUAUAGUUGAUGCUAGCUUUUGGCUGAAGCCUCAAUUCGUCUUCAGUGGGCCUCUCCCUAUUGGCUAAAAUUUGGGCUUCCUCACAGCAUGGUGGCAAGAUUCUAAGGGCAGGAAUCCAGAGAGAGAAAGGGCCAAGCAGAAGCCAUAUUGUCUUCGAUGACCUGGCCUCAAAAAUCAUGCAAUACCUUUCAUUCAUUGAGGCCGUCACAAAGCUCCACCCAUUCUCAAUGGGAGAGAAAUAAAUACUGACUCUCAAUGGGGAGUGGGAAGGUUCUGGGAGGGCAUAUGGCACCCAGAAUAUGGCUGUAGGCAUUUGUAAAUGGGGUUGUUGACAUUGAGCUUUCAGGAAGAGAAGAUUAAGACACAGAGAUACCAGAGAGGUCGUUCACAGAGGAAAGACCAUGUGAAGACGCAGUGAGAAGGUGGCCAUAUUCAAGCUGAGGAGAGAGACCUCAGAAGAAACCAAUACUGCCAACGCCUUGGUCUUGGACUUCCAGCCUCCAGAACUGUCCUGGAUCAGAAGAUGCCUGACAAGAGGCCACUAUCAGCAGCAACAGCACAGUGGGGACAAACCUGAGACCUUGAUGGACCGUGGACACCAGCAGGAGAGACAGAGGAACUUGAAGUCUAAAUGGGCAGACAAGACCAACAUACACAAAGCAGAGAGUGGCACAAGAGCCAUGUCUGAUGCAACAGUGACUCAGGAGGAUCACUCUGACUCAGAAUGGCCAAGCAAAGAAUUGAAAUUGAGUAACGUUUAACAGAAGGUGUCUGAUUACAACAAUGCCCUGGCUGUGAAGAGAACAAAUUCAGAACUUUCUCCUAAGGAGAGAAGGAGCAAACUGUUACUCUCUUGUCAAAUCCAGUUUUCUUUUAAUCUCUGAUAAUGUUUCACAUUGAACCAAUGCCUUUAAUAUGACUUAGUGCUUUAGGAAAAUAGUAUCACCUCAGGAUAUUUAGGUAACUAAACCAGCAGAUCCAAUAAGUGUUAUCUUUCAGAGUCAGCCUUCUGAAGGAGGCUAGAUGCACAUGUGAAUGACUUUGCCAUAGCACAGAAUGCGUCUGGAUCAUACUUCUGGAAAUUCCUCUGGAACCACUGUGUAAAUGAAGCUAUCAGGAAAUCUCAUUGCUUUGUAAUCAUGCUUUACUUUUGACUAAAAAGUAAAAACACC